rnacentral:rRNA from 1 species
CCUACGGGUGGCAGCAGUGAGGAAUAUUGGUCAAUGGCCGUAAGGCUGAACCAGCCAAGCCGCGUGAAGGAAGAAGGAUCUAUGGUUUGUAAACUUUUUUUAUAGGGGAAUAAAGGUAUCCACGUGUGGAUAUUUGCAUGUACCCUAUGAAUAAGCAUCGGCUAAAUCCGGUCCAGCAGCCGCGGUAAUAUGGUGGAUGCGAGCGUUAUCUGGAUUUAUUGGGUUUAAAGGGUGCGUAGGCUGUGAGGUAAGUCAGCGGUGAAAUGCCCCCGCUCAACGGGGUGAAGUGCCAUUGAUACUGGCUUGCUGGAGUGCGGAUGCCGUGGGAGGAAUGUGAGGUGUAGCGGUGAAAUGCGUAGAUAUCACACAGAACACCGAGGGCGAAGGCAUCUCACGAAUCCGUGAUUGACGCUGAUGCACGAAAGCGUGGGGAGCAAACAGGAUUAGAUACCCGUGUAGUC